rnacentral:rRNA from 1 species
AGUCAUUGAUGCCAUGCUUCCAGGAAAAGCCUCUAAGCUUCAGAUUGUAAGGAAUCGUACCCCAAACCGACACAGGUGGUCGGGUAGAGAAUACCAAGGCGCUUGAGAGAACUCGGGUGAAGGAACUAGGCAAAAUGGUACCGUAACUUCGGGAGAAGGUACGCUCUCGACGGUGAAGUCCCUCGCGGAUGGAGCUAUUGAGAGUCGCAGAUACCAGGUGGCUGCAACUGUUUAUUAAAAACACAGCACUGUGCAAAAUCGUAAGAUGACGUAUACGGUGUGACGCCUGCCCGGUGCCGGAAGGUUAAUUGAUGGGGUUAGACUUCGGUCGAAGCUCUUGAUCGAAGCCCCGGUAAACGGCGGCCGUAACUAUAACGGUCCUAAGGUAGCGAAAUUCCUUGUCGGGUAAGUUCCGACCUGCACGAAUGGCGUAAUGAUGGCCACGCUGUCUCCACCCGAGACUCAGUGAAAUUGAAAUCGCUGUGAAGAUGCAGUGUACCCGCGGCUAGACGGAAAGACCCCGUGAACCUUUACUACAGCUUGGCACUGAACAUUGACCCUACAUGUGUAGGAUAGGUGGGAGGCUUUGAAGCACGUACGCCAGUAUGUGUGGAGCCGUCCUUGAAAUACCACCCUUGUAGUGUUGAUGUUCUAACGUUGACCCCUAAUCGGGGUUGCGGACAGUGCCUGGUGGGUAGUUUGACUGGGGCGGUCUCCUCCCAAAGAGUAACGGAGGAGCACGAAGGUGGGCUAAUCACGGUUGGACAUCGUGAGGUUAGUGCAAUGGCAUAAGCCCGCUUGACUGCGAGAAUGACAAUUCGAGCAGGUGCGAAAGCAGGUCAUAGUGAUCCGGUGGUUCUGAAUGGAAGGGCCAUCGCUCAACGGAUAAAAGGUACUCCGGGGAUAACAGGCUGAUACCGCCCAAGAGUUCAUAUCGACGGCGGUGUUUGGCACCUCGAUGUCGGCUCAUCACAUCCUGGGGCUGAAGUCGGUCCCAAGGGUAUGGCUGUUCGCCAUUUAAAGUGGUACGCGAGCUGGGUUUAGAACGUCGUGAGACAGUUCGGUCCCUAUCUGCCGUGGGCGUUGGAAGAUUGAAGGGGGCUGCUCCUAGUACGAGAGGACCGGAGUGGACGAACCUCUGGUGUUCGGGUUGUGUCGCCAGACGCAUUGCCCGGUAGCUAAGUUCGGAAUCGAUAACCGCUGAAAGCAUCUAAGCGGGAAGCGAGCCCUGAGAUGAGUCUUCCCUGAUACUUUAAGUAUCCUAAAGGGUUGUCGGAGACUACGACGUUGAUAGGUCAGGUGUGUAAGUGCUGUGAGGCAUUGAGCUAACUGAUACUAAUUGCCCGUGAGGCUUAACCAUACAACACCCAAGGGGUUU